rnacentral:rRNA from 1 species
AGCGAACGCUGGCGGCAGGCCUAACACAUGCAAGUCGAACGGACCCUUCGGGGUUAGUGGCGGACGGGUGAGUAACACGUGGGAACGUGCCUUUUGGUUCGGAAUAGCUCCUGGAAACGGGUGGUAAUGCCGAAUGUGCCCUUCGGGGGAAAGAUUUAUCGCCAUUAGAGCGGCCCGCGUCUGAUUAGCUAGUUGGUGAGGUAAAGGCUCACCAAGGCGACGAUCAGUAGCUGGUCUGAGAGGAUGACCAGCCACAUUGGGACUGAGACACGGCCCAAACUCCUACGGGAGGCAGCAGUGGGGAAUCUUGCGCAAUGGGCGAAAGCCUGACGCAGCCAUGCCGCGUGAAUGAUGAAGGUCUUAGGAUUGUAAAAUUCUUUCACCGGGGACGAUAAUGACGGUACCCGGAGAAGAAGCCCCGGCUAACUUCGUGCCAGCCGCCGCGGUAAGAC